rnacentral:rRNA from 1 species
GCAGACGGGUGAGUAAUGCAUAGGAAUCUACCUAGUAGUAUGGGAUAGCCACUAGAAAUGGUGGGUAAUACUGUAUAAUCCCUGCGGGGGAAAGAUUUAUCGCUAUUAGAUGAGCCUAUGUUAGAUUAGCUAGUUGGUAGGGUAAAGGCCUACCAAGGCAGUGAUCUAUAGCUGGUCUGAGAGGAUGAUCAGCCACACUGGAACUGAGAUACGGUCCAGACUCCUACGGGAGGCAGCAGUGGGGAAUAUUGGACAAUGGGCGCAAGCCUGAUCCAGCUAUGCCGCGUGAGUGAGGAAGGCCUUAGGGUUGUAAAACUCUUUCAGUGGGGAAGAUAAUGACGGUACCCACAGAAGAAGUCCCGGCAAACUCCGUGCCAGCAGCCGCGGUAAUACGGAGGGGGCAAGCGUUGUUCGGAAUUAUUGGGCGUAAAGGGCAUGUAGGCGGUUCGGUAAGUUAAAG